GAGGGGCCCCUCUCGGGUUACCGAAUUCAGACAAACUCCGAAUGCCAAUUAAUUUAACUUGGGAGUCAGAACAUGGGUGAUAAGGUCCGUGUUCGAAAGGGAAACAGCCCAGACCACCAGCUAAGGUCCCAAAAUAUAUGUUAAGUGGAAAAGGAUGUGGCGUUGCCCAGACAACUAGGAUGUUGGCUUAGAAGCAGCCAUCAUUUAAAGAGUGCGUAAUAGCUCACUAGUCGAGUGACACUGCGCCGAAAAUGUACCGGGGCUAAACAUAUUACCGAAGCUGUGGAUUGUCCUUUGGACAAUGGUAGGAGAGCGUUCUAAGGGCGUUGAAGCAUGAUCGUAAGGACAUGUGGAGCGCUUAGAAGUGAGAAUGCCGGUGUGAGUAGCGAAAGACGGGUGAGAAUCCCGUCCACCGAUUGACUAAGGUUUCCAGAGGAAGGCUCGUCCGCUCUGGGUUAGUCGGGUCCUAAGCUGAGGCCGACAGGCGUAGGCGAUGGAUAACAGGUUGAUAUUCCUGUACCACCUAUAAUCGUUUUAAUCGAUGGGGGGACGCAGUAGGAUAGGCGAAGCGUGCGAUUGGAUUGCACGUCUAAGCAGUAAGGCUGAGUAUUAGGCAAAUCCGGUACUCGUUAAGGCUGAGC
rnacentral:rRNA from 1 species